rnacentral:lncRNA from 1 species
UUUAACUUUCGACUUUUGUACAUUUUCUUCGACUUUUGAUUAUUUCACAUUAUUUAUAUAUUCUCAAAAUAAGAGAUCUGAGUGUUUGAUAAUUUUCUUCGCUAGAACUGGAGCAUUUGUCCCAUAUUGGAGGAGUAUUAAGCUAGGAGGUGGUGGUGAUGAUAUUGAAGUUCGUUCCCUGAUGGUGGCGGUGGUGGGGAUCGAUCUUCUUCUACGAACCUUUCUAGUCACCACAUCCAAAUCACGAGAGGUUCUGCCUGAAUAACAAGUAUGAGAUUGUAAAAGCGACCAAUAAAUCAAGAAAAUAUAACAAAGAAAUAUGAAAUAGCAUUCAUCUUUUGGUGCCCAAGUUUUAUUUUUAUCUCAAACUACACUGUAUAAGAGAGUAAGACUACAUUAUAUAGUUGUAAGUUAGAAUAUGUCCACGAACGAGUAGUUGGGUGCCUCUAUAAAUUUAAUUCAACGUUGAGAUUGGAAGCUUCAUAGGGGAUAUCAACUUUUUUUUUAUAAUUAUUUGGAAAACAAUUUGUUUACAUAAACAUCAAUCUAGUUGAAUUAAUUAAUGAUGCCAUGGCUCGAGUUGACUGCAAUUAGGUUUUGCUAUAGUUUCACAUCCAUGUUUAUUGCCUACCCUUUUGGAAGUUUCAUCACUCCUGAAUUACUAAAGUUAUUGCUUCAAGCUUUUCAGUUUUCAACUAUGAAUUUGCUGGAUAUACAAGCUUUUGUUCUUAUAAAUAUUUUCUCUUGCAAUUUAUUUAUUUCAGGAUAAUUGCUUAUAAAGGAGAAAUUAUGCAACUAUAAAUAAGCCUUGAUGAUAAAACAAAGCAAAUUGAAGAUAUACGACUUGCCAUUUCAAUCCUACAGAGUUUCUGAAAGACUGGUAGCGGUGGUUCACCUCAGCCAUCUUCUUCUCCCACCCAUAUGCUACCCGGCGUCCCCCCACCGGCAAAGAAAGAAUCCUGUUUCUACUGGAAACUAAAGGUUUCUUUUUCUUUCCUAUUGAUGGGUCAUUUUACAUGUCUAUCAGCCAGCCAACCGUUUGUUGGAUAUGUACUCAGAAAUUAUAAAGUCACUUUCUUUCUGAUCUAAUUAGCAUAAAUACUCGUUAUUUUUCUUUAAACUGCAAAGAGCUUUUCCUUUUACGCUGAUAAUAUGUAAAGGUAGACAUGUACAUAAAAAAAAAAAAAAAUGCCUUGAAAAUAAAAACAUCUUUAAUUUCCACAAGCUUUUGAACCCAUGAUAUCCAGCAUCAACAUGGCGGCGGCGGCGGCGGAGGAGACAAUGUCGGCGGUGGUGGUGGCCGAGGAGGAGGACUUUUGAAAUGGAAAGGAGGAUUAAGCCUAGGAGGUGGUGGUGGGGAUAUUCUGUCAACCUUUCUAGUUACCACAUUAAAAUCAGGAGAGGUUCUGCCUGCACAACAGGUAUGAAAUUGUAAGAGCAACCCAUAAAUCAAGAAGAAAACCAACAAAUAUGAAAUAACCUUCAUGUUUUGGCACCUAAUUUUAUAUCAUUAUCUCAAACUACAUUAUAUAGUUGUGAGUUGGAACUUGUCAAAAGAGUAGUUGGGCUUCAUUCAAUUUAAUUCAACUACGCGUUUCUUAGGAGAUAUGAACUCUGUUUUUUAUUAUAUUUUGGAUGACAAUUUGCUCAUAUGAAAAUGAUUGAUGUUCCAGUUGAAAC